CUUCAGCGAGCCCAGCCACAACGGUCCCUCCGCGUCGCGGUCCCGCCCGUAGGUCGCCAGCAACGCCUGCGCCUC
rnacentral:antisense_RNA from 1 species